GCAAGUCCGAGCUUGGAAAGCGCCUCCAUCCUAGACUUGUCUGGCGUCGGAUUUUGAAAUUGAAAUGCUCCGCGUGGGAAGGUUGCGCACGCAGGCCGGUUCUCCACCAUCUAAAGGGUGCGCCGGGCCGGAGAGGUUAGCGAGCGUCUGCCCCCGGCGCUCCUGAACGCUGACGGCUUCGGCGGCGAUCGAGUGGGGAAUGCGCCCUGGUGCUCGGCGAUCUUGCUGGUGAUUACUACUGGACUGGGAACUGAACCUGCGGGUGGCAGGUGUCUAAAGUCCUCGUGCGGCCCGUCUGAGACGUCCAGGUCACGGUUCGGCUUCACUUCAAAAGGAGUCUCCGGGGGUAUAAUCAGCUCUUGGAAAUCUGACGAAGCAAACACAUUUAAAGAGGAUUUGCUGGAGCUCAGGUGUACUGUAUGUGCAGCAGUUUUCAAUCUCACGAAGAUUAAAGCUGUGACUCGUUUGUCAUUUCAGACAUGAAGCUGCAUCUCCUGAUGAAACUGUUCUCUUUUAUUCUGUCUGAUUGUGCAUCAAAGAUAAUAGUCUUUGAGAACCUGCUGGUGUUUAUAACGGCUGUAGUUUUAGUUCACAUGAAUUCAGAUCUACCUGCUGCUAGUUUUAUUCUGAGUGAUCAAAUAAAAACCUUUUUUUCC
ensembl:lncRNA